rnacentral:tRNA from 1 species
UGCCUGGAGGACUAGUGGUUAGGCUUCAGUGCUCUCACCGCUGUGGCCUGGGUUCAAUUCCUGGCCAGGGAA